rnacentral:rRNA from 1 species
UAUGAGAAAAAUAUAAAGUCUAGCCUGCCCACUGAGUUUUAAAGGGCUGCGGUAAUUUGACCGUGCAAAGGUAGCAUAAUCAGUAGUCUUUUAAUUGAAGGCUGGAAUGAAUGGUUGGAUGAGAGAUUAGCUGUCUCUAAUGUAUAUUAUAAUUUGACUUUUAAGUGAAAAGGCUUAAAUUAUUCAGAGGGACGAUAAGACCCUAUAAAACUUUAUAUUCAUUAGUUUUAUACUUAAAUUUUAAUUUAAAAUUGUAAAAUCAAUAGCAUAUUUUGUUGGGGAGACAUUGAUAUAGACAGUAACUGUCCGAAUAAAAAUAAUAAUUAUAUUUAGAAUAUGAUCCUUCUUUGUGGAUAAAAAGAAUAAGUUACUUUAGGGAUAACAGCGUAAUUUUCUCUGAGAGUUCUUAUCGAAGAGAGUAGUUGCGACCUCGAUGUUGAAUUAAAAUUUCUUUUAGGUGUAGCCGUUUAAGUAGUAGGUCUGUUCGACCUUUAAAAUUUUACAUGAUUUGAGUUCAAACCGGU